AUUAUCCAUUUUUAAAAAUGCCCUAUAAAAGCCAAUUUUAAAACCCUAAAAAUCACUUCCUCAGCCACCCCACAAAUGUGCCGCAGCUCUCCAUCGACUCCACCAUUCCAGUCCUCUCCUAUUUCCGACCAUGAAACGACGAAGCGAGGUUGCCUUUCGACGAAUCUCACGACGGUACAUGCGUGUAUGGGAAUUGCUGCGACGUGGGGCAUGCACGGCGCUGGAGGUUGCUAAGACGUGGGAUGUUGUUGCGAGGGAAGAACGUGGGCAGUUGCGGCAUAGGGCGAUGGUGGCGUCAAGGCUCUCUGCUGGUUAGGCUAGGGAUUUGGGUUAAUGACUUGGGCUUGUAAUGGGUUUGGGCCUUAGGCUUAGUUGGGCCCGGACAAUAAUUGGGUAUUACAUAUGGCAUUGAGAUAUAGUGUUAAAAGAAAUUAUGCGUUCAUGAAUAAAACGUCAAAUGAUUUGGUAUUGGGCUAUGCACUUAAGACAUGAAAAUGCAAAUUGAUUUAGUUGAUAGUUGAGUCACAUAAUGAUUGUAUUGACACUAUGUUUCUAUUGAUUAUUGAUUUAAAUCAUGAAAGUAUCAUUAAGUCCUAUAA